UACGGGGGGGUAAGCGUUGUUCGGAAUUACUGGGCGUAAAGGGCUCGUAGGCGGCCAACUAAGUCGGACGUGAAAUCCCUCAGCUUAACUGGGGAACUGCGUCUGAUACUGGAUGGCUUGGAUUUGGGAGAGGGAUGCGGAAUUCCAGGUGUAGGCGGUGAAAUGCGUAGAUAUCUGGAGGAACACCGGUGGCGAAGGCGGCUCGCUGGGACGUUACUGACGCUGAGACGCGAAAGCGUGGGGAGCAACAGG
rnacentral:rRNA from 1 species